rnacentral:tRNA from 1 species
GGUGGCUCAGUGGUAGAUUGCUUGCCUUGCAUGCAUGAGACCCUGGGUUCGAUUCUUAGCACCA